GUCUGUCCAAAACCUGGUCAUAUCUUACGUCUGUCAAAACCAGUCUUCCUCGGACUUUGAGGUAGCGUUUAAUUCGUCACUCAGGCCGCUGUUAGUGUGUGGUGAGCAGACUGUUAUCUUACAUGAGGAGCGGGCUGUAAGAGCUCAGCAGCCGGACAGGAGAGAUCAUGGUUGGGCUGCUGGUGGUGCUUCUCGGGGGGCUGUUGGAGGUCUGCAGCGGCGUCUCAACAAACAGAGGGGGCUAUCCUCCUUUAC